CCUACGGGAGGCAGCAGGGGGGAAUAUUGCACAAUGGGCGCAAGCCUGAUGCAGCCAUGCCGCGUGUGUGAAGAAGGCCUUCGGGUUGUAAAGCACUUUCAGUCGUGAGGAGGGUAGUGUAGUUAAUAGCUGCAUUAUUUGACGUUAGCGACAGAAGAAGCACCGGCUAACUCCGUGCCAGCAGCCGCGGUAAUACGGAGGGUGCGAGCGUUAAUCGGAAUUACUGGGCGUAAAGCGCAUGCAGGUGGUUUGUUAAGUCAGAUGUGAAAGCCCGGGGCUCAACCUCGGAAUUGCAUUUGAAACUGGCAGACUAGAGUACUGUAGAGGGGGGUAGAAUUUCAGGUGUAGCGGUGAAAUGCGUAGAGAUCUGAAGGAAUACCGGUGGCGAAGGCGGCCCCCUGGACAGAUACUGACACUCAGAUGCGAAAGCGUGGGGAGCAAACAGGAUUAGAUACCCUGGUAG
rnacentral:rRNA from 1 species